rnacentral:rRNA from 1 species
GGUUAAGCGACUAAGCGUACACGGUGGAUGCCUAGGCAGUCAGAGGCGAUGAAGGGCGUGCUAAUCUGCGAAAAGCGUCGGUAAGCUGAUAUGAAGCGUUACAACCGACGAUACCCGAAUGGGGAAACCCAGUGCAAUUCGUUGCACUAUUGCAUGGUGAAUACAUAGCCAUGCAAGGCGAACCGGGGGAACUGAAACAUCUAAGUACCCCGAGGAAAAGAAAUCAACCGAGAUUCCCCCAGUAGCGGCGAGCGAACGGGGAAGAGCCCAGAGUCUGAAUCAGUUUAUGUGUUAGUGGAAGCGUCUGGAAAGUCGCACGGUACAGGGUGAUAGUCCCGUACACAAAAAUGCAUAUUCUGUGAACUCGAUGAGUAGGGCGGGACACGUGACAUCCUGUCUGAAUAUGGGGGGACCAUCCUCCAAGGCUAAAUACUCCUGACUGACCGAUAGUGAACCAGUACCGUGAGGGAAAGGCGAAAAGAACCCCGGCGAGGGGAGUGAAAUAGAACCUGAAACCGUGUACGUACAAGCAGUGGGAGCACCUUCGUGGUGUGACUGCGUACCUUUUGUAUAAUGGGUCAGCGACUUAUAUUUUGUAGCAAGGUUAACCGAAUAGGGGAGCCGUAGGGAAACCGAGUCUUAACUGGGCGUCUAGUUGCAAGGUAUAGACCCGAAACCCGGUGAUCUAGCCAUGGGCAGGUUGAAGGUUGGGUAACACUAACUGGAGGACCGAACCGACUAAUGUUGAAAAAUUAGCGGAUGACUUGUGGCUGGGGGUGAAAGGCCAAUCAAACCGGGAGAUAGCUGGUUCUCCCCGAAAGCUAUUUAGGUAGCGCCUCGUGAACUCAUCUUCGGGGGUAGAGCACUGUUUCGGCUAGGGGGUCAUCCCGACUUACCAAACCGAUGCAAACUCCGAAUACCGAAGAAUGUUAUCACGGGAGACACACGGCGGGUGCUAACGUCCGUCGUGAAGAGGGAAACAACCCAGACCGCCAGCUAAGGUCCCAAAGUCAUGGUUAAGUGGGAAACGAUGUGGGAAGGCAUAGACAGCCAGGAUGUUGGCUUAGAAGCAGCCAUCAUUUAAAGAAAGCGUAAUAGCUCACUGGUCGAGUCGGCCUGCGCGGAAGAUGUAACGGGGCUAAACCAUGCACCGAAGCUGCGGCAGCGACACUUAGGUGUUGUUGGGUAGGGGAGCGUUCUGUAAGCCGUUGAAGGUGACCUGUGAGGGUUGCUGGAGGUAUCAGAAGUGCGAAUGCUGACAUAAGUAACGAUAAUGCGGGUGAAAAACCCGCACGCCGGAAGACCAAGGGUUCCUGUCCAACGUUAAUCGGGGCAGGGUGAGUCGACCCCUAAGGCGAGGCUGAAAAGCGUAGUCGAUGGGAAACAGGUUAAUAUUCCUGUACUUGGUGUUACUGCGAAGGGGGGACGGAGAAGGCUAGGCUAGCCGGGCGACGGUUGUCCCGGUUUAAGCAUGUAGGCGGAGUGACUUGGUAAAUCCGGUUGCUUAUCAACGCUGAGGUGUGAUGACGAUGCACUACGGUGCAGAAGUAGUUGAUGCCAAGCUUCCAGGAAAAGCCUCUAAGCAUCAGGUAACAUUAAAUCGUACCCCAAACCGACACAGGUGGUCAGGUAGAGAAUACUCAGGCGCUUGAGAGAACUCGGGUGAAGGAACUAGGCAAAAUGGUGCCGUAACUUCGGGAGAAGGCACGCUGGCAUUAGGUAAAGAGACUUGCUCUCGGCGCCGAAGCCAGUCGCAGAUACCAGCUGGCUGCAACUGUUUAAUAAAAACACAGCACUGUGCAAACACGAAAGUGGACGUAUACGGUGUGACGCCUGCCCGGUGCUGGAAGGUUAAUUGAUGGGGUCAGCCUUACGGCGAAGCUCUUGAUCGAAGCCCCAGUAAACGGCGGCCGUAACUAUAACGGUCCUAAGGUAGCGAAAUUCCUUGUCGGGUAAGUUCCGACCUGCACGAAUGGCGUAAUGAUGGCCAGGCUGUCUCCACCCGAGACUCAGUGAAAUUGAACUCGCUGUGAAGAUGCAGUGUACCCGCGGCAAGACGGAAAGACCCCGUGAACCUUUACUAUAGCUUGACACUGAACAUUGAGCCUUGAUGUGUAGGAUAGGUGGGAGGCAUCGAAGUGUGGACGCCAGUCUGCAUGGAGCCAACCUUGAAAUACCACCCUUUAAUGUUUGAUGUUCUAACUCGGCCCCGU